rnacentral:tRNA from 7 species
GGUUGUCUAGCUUAGUUGGUAGAGCGUAAGACUCUUAACCUUGUGGUUGUGGGUUUAAGCCCCACAGUGGGUG